rnacentral:rRNA from 1 species
UACGUAGGUGGCAAGCGUUGUCCGGAUUUAUUGGGUUUAAAGGGUGCGUAGGCGGUUCUGUAAGUCAGUGGUGAAAUACUCUAGCUUAACUAGAGGGGUGCCAAUGAUACUGCAGAACUUGAGUACAGAUGAGGUAGGCGGAAUUGACGGUGUAGCGGUGAAAUGCAUAGAUAUCGUCAAGAACACCGAUAGCGAAGGCAGCCUUACUGGGCUGUAAACUGACGCUGAUGCACGAAAGUGUGGGGAUCAAACAGG